ACCCGGAACCCAAAGGAGCAAAUGCAUAAAAUCCUCUCUCCCUAUUUCUCCCCUUUGCUUUCCUGCCAGUGCCUCCCACUAUCUGAAUCCCACCAAAUGGCAGCAGGUAAAGGUACUUGUAAGGCCAUUGGAGGUGAGCACUCCCACUCAAAUCAGAGGAGGAAAGGACAGGUUUCUGUUCUUUUUUAAAAAGGAGGUCUCCAAAAUGCUGUAUGCUUCAGGCUCAGAUCUGAACCUACCUUUGUAAGGUAUACAAAUGCAGAGAAACCAAUUUUCUACUUUAUUGCAAAGGAAGAGCAAAUUGAAAUUCAGAACUGGCUGAAAAGAGCAAGCAGUUGGUCAAUCAGGCCUCUUGGUUACAGGCAUCCAAACAGAAGUCAGUGGGUACAAUUAAGAUCAUUGAAAUUUCCAGGGGAUUGGGUAUACCUCUAACUAAACAAAUCAAUAAAUGGUCUU